AACGAACGCUGGCGGCAUGCCUAACACAUGCAAGUCGAACGAUGCCUUCGGGCAUAGUGGCGCACGGGUGCGUAACGCGUGGGAAUCUGCCUUUCGGUUCGGAAUAACUCAGGGAAACUUGAGCUAAUACCGGAUAACGUCGCAAGACCAAAGAUUUAUCACCGAAAGAUGAGCCCGCGUAGGAUUAGCUAGUUGGUGAGGUAAAGGCUCACCAAGGCGACGAUCCUUAGCUGGUCUCAGAGGAUGAUCAGCCACACUGGGACUGAGACACGGCCCAGACUCCUACGGGAGGCAGCAGUGGGGAAUAUUGGACAAUGGGCGAAAGCCUGAUCCAGCAAUGCCGCGUGAGUGAUGAAGGCCUUAGGGUUGUAAAGCUCUUUUACCCGGGAAGAUAAUGACGGUACCGGGAGAAUAAGCCCCGGCUAACUCCGUG
rnacentral:rRNA from 1 species